ensembl:lncRNA
AUGAGAAGCAUCCAGUGUUUGAUUCAGCUCAGUUGGCGUUUAAUUCAGCAUGCAUGAGCCCACAGGACAGCGGUGACGCCCUUCUGAAAUAAUGAUUCAGCCCCGUCUGAACCCCUGCUGCUCUGUGCUCCGCUUUAUUACAGACGAUGAAAAGCUUUCAUUUUCUGUCCAUUUGCAUUAUGAACAUGAGCGAAAUUCUGUCUUUCAGAUCCAGACACGACUGCAGAAUCUGAGCAGCAACUUACAGAACAAGAGCAAUGACAUCGAAGUUCUGGCUGUCGAUCUGCCCAAGGAAACGCUCAUCAACUUCCUGUCCCUCGAGGGUGACUGUGGUGGUUCUUUACAGCUUCUGCUGUUUUCUGCGGAGGAUUCGAUGCCAAAGAGUCCAGUCAUCAAUCAUAUUACUAACGAUUCCUGUGAAAUCACAAUUAAUUACUGUACAGUCCACAACUGAAGGAAAUAAAAUAUUUUCCUGUAUCA